GGCUCAGGGGCUCUGACAACUCUCCUUAGAAAUUACUUUGCUCCACCUCCCACUGGCCUCACUGGCACCCAUAUUAACAUUGUGUACCCAUCAUUUCCCACUAAACCAGCUUAAUACAGGGAGCUUGUUUCUCCACCCUCCUACUGUAAGCACCUGUGUGGCCACUAUGGAACAUCCUCAGCUAACCUGUACCAUCUCCAACUACGCUUUCAUUGCUUUCAAUGUUUUCACAUUUUCCUAUCUGGGCUCAGCGCCCUUCCAAAUUGCCAGCCUGACACCACCCAUGCUGAUUUAUGUUCCCUGAGAAAUGCAAUUGUAACUAUUUCCAUUAAGAGAGCCCUCAAAACCGUAAAUGGCUCCAAAGUUGUGAAGAAUGCCCCAGUCUGGGACUGCAAUGCUCCUGGCUCCCUAAAAAUUGCCCAUUAUAUUUUCCUGAAUUUGGAUGUACCCGAUGCUUCAGCUAGAAUGGUGGUUUUGAUUCCAGCAUGUGCAUGUGUGCAAGACGCGCUAUCUGCUUAUCUUGACAUGGUGUCCACACUUUCAGACUCUACCAGGAUUUCUUUCUCUCGCUAAGGUUUCUUCUGAGGUAAGUGCCUCAAACCAAACUCCUGUUUCUUCCUAUAUUUGCUUAUCCACUCACAAGCUCUCCAGAGCCCAGGAUACUAUUGGUGUUUAUUUUGGGCUUGUUCAGGGUUUUGCUAGCAAAGAGAGCAGAAUUGGUGCAUGGUUCUUAGGACAACACACUUUAUUUCAGACACAAGCAAACCCUAGCUCGCACUUAGCAUGUGCAAGCCUCUGUGCAGCAUUCACCUACGGAGGUAUAUAAAGGGUAAUGAUAAUGUUGCCCAGAAGGCUAACACAUCAAAGGCCAAGGAGCAGUUAAAAUGUAUUACGAGCUGUUGGCAGUGAUUGUGGGGGGUAUUCAUGUAUUGCUGGUUUGGGCGGCCCGAGUAAAUGAAAACCCUCUGGAUUAAUUGGUACACCAAAGAGAUCUGGUGGAAAAUGGAGGCUGAGGAAAAUGCCAAACAAGGGAAAAUGCAGAUAGCUGGGUGUGCUGACCUGUGGCAGGGCGAUGCCUGUGGCUCCCUCCUGUGCCCUGGGAAGCUCAGCAGAGCUGGGGGUGCCCCUCCAGCGGCUUGCCUGGUGCUUUGGUGGGAGCAGGCUGAGCCCCACGGGCAGCAUCUGCAGCGCUGCUAUUGCAGCACAGCUGAGGGGGUAGUUAGAGGUGAGACUUACCAGGUCUCGUGACACCUGGACACCACGGGACAAGAGUUUAAUUAUUUUUAACGAUGUGGGGGCUGGGGGAGGGAGACGAGGCCGUGUGGUGCCUGGUGUCACAGAGCAACUGAAGCUGGGAACUUCAAAACCCAUUUGCACAGAGAACCCUGCCUGAAUCAGAUGACAAGCAACAUGGUGAAUAUUGAAUGAUACGAUCCCAUCUUUUACUAGGAUACUCUUAUUCCAACUACUACUAUGUGUUUUAUUACUAAUACUUCAAUUAUGCACAAACAGCAUCCAAGCGUUACAGUGACAGCCAUACAAACACCAAUCACACUGGCUCAUUCACAUGCUAAAUGACCGGCUGGAGCAGAACCACCACCUCUCAACACAGCACGGCCACACCAGGUAAGUCAUGCCCUUGCAGACCACCUGACUGGUGAUCAGGGGCAGGGUACCUGUGCUGAUGGCAGCAAGCAACUGGCCCUGACCUGGAGGUCUUUCACCCAUCCACCCUGGGGCUGCAAGGGCAGAGAGUCCAUGUCUUCUCUGAGAGCAGCAACUGGGUUCACCAGUGGGUUUCCGAAAGAAUUUCCUCAAUGUCAACCUGCCACAACUUGUGCUUGUAUCAGUGAUCUCUCAACUGGACAUCACAUGGAUGAUACCAUCAGACUUGAAGACUCCUUGUUGCAGGAAGAAAAGCACAGAAGGUGGUGUGCUUCUGGUCACCUCACGUUUUUCAAGAUCACUUUCUCCUUGCAUUAACUGUUCGGUGCAUGGAAGCAGGGAAGUAAGAGGCUGCUCAAACUGGUAGGUUCUCCUGGCCACGUGUCCUUCUCCUGACAGAUGUGUGAGUGUGAGGGGCAUGGAAGGUAAACCAACAUGUAGUGGGGGCAAAUUCCAGAGGGGCCUUUCUUUGUUCUUUCCAUGAAUAUACUUAAGAGAAUAUUAUGCGAGUAAAGAGUCAGCAGAAAGACAGAGAAGUGCAAUGCUGCAUGCAGCGGUACCUCUGCAGGUAGGACCGCUCAUCUCAAAAGCUUGACUCUUGCUGACCCAAAUCUGAAAGGCCCCUAUCUUGUCUCCCAGCUCAUUGUCACAAAUGAUUUAAAGCAUGGCUCAGCUCUGCAGCCUCUGUCACUACUCAUCCCACUGUCCUUCUGCUGGCAAUCUCCUUCCUUCCAUGGGUGUCACAGGAAAAGCCUUGUUUUCUGUUUGUGCCAAGGAGCGUUGUAGCAGGGUGGGAGAAGCAGCAAUCUUCCACACUUUUUUCAUAUAGCGAGAGCGUAAGAAUGAACAUCACCAACUUAUUUCUGGCACGUUCCUGAAAAAUUCUUGCUUCUCCCAUAUAGCUGAGAUAUUUAUAAAGAUUCUGUUUUCAGUCUUAAAGAUAAAGACAAGCAUCAAUUUAAAAAUCUAUUUUUAAAGCAAAUUGCAUUGUAAUUUAAUCUUAAACUGAAGUUUUUAAAGUGCUCUCAUCCUUGAAAAAAAGACACUGUUUCAUUUUUGGUGACUAAUGAUGAAGUGUUUUCUUAGGGUGACUGAACAUAGCACAGAGUCCUAAAUAUAUUUAUUAGCUCAUUAAACAUAAUUAAUUGAAUCUGGUUGCUAACAUUAGCUAUGCCUUUGCAAGUGAAAAGUACUUUUGGUUUGCUAGACAGUUUCUUAUCAAAGAACAAAAAUGCAACACUAAAACAUAUGCAGCUUACUGAAUAAUCACGCUAUUUGUCAGACAAGCAGAAGAAUCAUCACUGAAGUGCUCCCAAAGUGCCAGAUUGGGUAAUAUACAUAAUUAGGCCCCAUUUGAUUAGAUAUGUGCCUAUGGUAACAGCCACACUCGUGAUCCACACAUUAGUACAGCCUUGAAAUAGUUUUCAAGGGGGAUGAUGGCAACAGAGCACAUCCAAAGCUUCACUGGGGAGAUUUUUGGAACACAACCUAUAUGCUGAUUUCCUCUGUUCCUGUGGUUAUUCUUUAUUUUAUCUUAUUAUCUUUUAUUCUUGAAAAAAUGCAUGCCUUGGUUCUCAAGGGUGAUAUACUGCUUCCACGAAAUGUCACUACACUUUUAUCCCUAAAAGGAAGGUCUCUUUAUCAUCUGAAUCACAUUUUAAGGCAUAAAACCUUCCUAUAUUUAGGGAUGCAUCCUAGCAAUUGGCAAGGCUGCUGCAAGCUGUUCCUAGGAGGUGGGAACAAUCAUCACCUGGAAGCCAGCCCAUCUCAGAUCCACUCUCCUCCCACAGCCCAGGACAGCCUGGUGAUGGAUAAGGCCUUCUGGAUGUUCUUUUAGGCUUUUGCAGGAGCUUCAUGAAACGACUGCAAGGUCUCAGCGGGAAGACUAAUUUUGCAUCAGAUCCAAGCCUCUGAGAGAGCCUGCAAGUGCUGAGCUACUGCCAACCCACAGGGAGUAAGUCCGGAGGGUACUGUUUGGGUAACAGUGGAGCCCAAGAGAGUUUGUUUAGCUGUAGAUGCAACAUGAAUUGUUCCUGUCAUUUAUUUUUACAUCCUUACAGGGUGGAUGAGUUUGGAAGAGUUGGAGAGAAUCAGAGAAUUAGCAGAAUGAAUUAUUAUUAGGGGUUAUUUAUACAAAAUGAGAGAAAUACAUCUCCUGGUGCAACACUCUAUGCCCAGGGCUGAUGAGAGUUGUUGCUUUUGCAAUAAUGCCUACUGGAAAAUAUUUUCAAGAAGCUUUUUCCCCCAAUAAGGAAGAGACCAAGACCCAGAAAAGUUCUGCCAGAUGAAGGCACCAGUGAA